CAGCAGCCGCGGGAAUACGAAGGGGGCUAGCGUUGUUCGGAUUUACUGGGCGUAAAGCGCACGUAGGCGGACUUUUAAGUCAGGGGUGAAAUCCCGGGGCUCAACCCCGGAACUGCCUUUGAUACUGGAAGUCUUGAGUAUGGUAGAGGUGAGUGGAAUUCCGAGUGUAGAGGUGAAAUUCGUAGAUAUUCGGAGGAACACCAGUGGCGAAGGCGGCUCACUGGACCAUUACUGACGCUGAGGUGCGAAAGCGUGGGGAGCAAACAGGAUUAGAGACCCCUGUAGUCCCUGUCUCUUAUAC
rnacentral:rRNA from 1 species